rnacentral:lncRNA from 1 species
UCCCAUUUACAGCGUCAGAAAAUAUGUAACAAAUUAGCCGUUUAUGAGGUAAGAGAGCAGGGCUGUGUGCCGCAGCGGCGAGGCAGGGCUGCGCAUAAGGGGGCCUUUCAGCCGGCUUCAGGGGGCGGCCAGGCGGGCAGGCGUUGCGGGGGACCGGCUCUGCCCCAGGCCUGCCAGCAUGGCCUGGCACCCAUGGGAUGGAGGGCUAGGAGGCCCUGGUUGACCUCUGGCUUGGACUCUGGUUUGAUGAAGAGUUCUAGCGGAAGCAUCAGCCAGUCAUUAAUUCCAGGGAGGGUGCACGUGGAACCAGAAGGGGUGGCUGGCCAGGCAGGAGGCUGCCCCUCACCAGGGAGAAGAAAGAGCGCUCCUCUCUCCAGCCUUGCUGUGGCCUUCAACUUGCUUCACCGGGUGUCCAGAAUCACAGGCGGGUGGAAUGAGAGCAGUUUGAAUGACACCUGGUGGGCAGACAGUUUGGUACUGAAGUGCUGGGAUUUCACGUCCUCUGGGUUGUCUCGCUGUGGCUCCGAUGCCUUUGACGUGAACAGCUCACAAGUCUAUCACUCGCAUUCUGUGGCGUCUGGCAUCUCCCGAUUUGGAGUUUGUGAUUCUGUGUCUUUACAAGGCUGAAACCGAAGCCGCCUGAGGUCCCCGGGAGACUUGCUAAAACUUCAACUGCACCCAGUUCAGCAGAGCAACUUGAAAGUUAAUCAGCGGUGAGGGACAAUUUGCCUCAUUAUUUCCAGCCCUGGAAUUUGGCGGCAGAUGGAAUUUGGGGCCUGGUGUGGACACGGCAAUGAACACAGCAAGGACUGUCGCCCCUUGGUAUGGCCUUGUGGGGUCUGGGCCUGGAUGGGCUGAUACUCCCUCUGAAGAUGGGCGGUGCCAGGAAGGAUUUCCCACUUGAGAGAACAAGGGCAAUAAGGCUCCCCUAUCCCAGGUCCAGGCCAGUGUGGAGUAAUCCUUAGAUACACAGUUCUGAGCACGUAUUCGGGCUGAACCCUGCACUGGAUUCUGGGGAAACAAGAGUGGAAUCCGAUACAGUUGCAUCCAAUAUAGGACGCAGACCAGAGACACUGGGGUAAAUUCUCACAGGAGAGGAACACCUGUGGCUGGCACCUUCUGCAUGAAUCUGCGAAAAACAAAUCUGCCCCACUUCCCCUCACUUUCUCAAUAAGGUCCACUCAGACCCUUGACUUUAAUGUUAACCCCCUCCCAGGCACUCCCACCUCCACACUCUGCCAUACUCUCCACAGCACAUAGCACUGACCACCUUCUAACACACUAUGUUAGUUCCUCACUUAUCAUGUUUAUUGUUUAUCACAUCACCUUCCACAGGAAGGUAAGACCCUCCUUCCAUGAGGGCAGGAAUAUUUGUUUUGUUAAUUAGUCUAUCUCCAGCCCCAGCACAUAAAAUGCCCUCAAUAAAUGUCGUGUGAACAAAUGAA